AACGCGAAGAACCUUACCAAGGUUUGACAUGGCCGGAAAACUCAUGGAGACAUGGGGUCCUUCGGGGCCGGUCACAGGUGGUGCAUGGCUGUCGUCAGCUCGUGUCGUGAGAUGUUGGGUUAAGUCCCGCAACGAGCGCAACCCUCGUCCCAUGUUGCCAGCGGGUUAUGCCGGGGACUCAUGGGAGACUGCCGGGGUCAACUCGGAGGAAGGUGGGGAUGACGUCAAGUCAUCAUGCCCCUUAUGUCUUGGGCUGCAAACAUGCUACAAUGGCCGGUACAGAGGGCUGCGAGCCUGUGAGGGUGAGCGAAUCCCGGAAAGCCGGUCUCAGUUCGGAUCGGGGUCUGCAACUCGGCCCCGUGAAGCCGGAGUCGCUAGUAAUCGCGGAUCAGCAACGCCGCGGUGAAUACGUUCCCGGGCCUUGUACACACCGACAUA
rnacentral:rRNA from 1 species